AAAUUGCAGGCACAAUUGCGUAAUGAUGGAAAAGAAACAGAAAGAAGGUGGUUCAGCUACAGCAGAUGAUAAAAACUUCAGUUCUCCUUAAGAAGUUAAGGGUAAACAAUAUCUCUGGUAUUGAAGGGGUGAGUAUGUUUACAAAUGAAGACCAGAGAUCCACUUUAACAACCUAAAAUGCUGGUAGCAUUUCUCUGGGGCAGUGAACACUUUCACCAUUACAGGCCAUGCUGAGACAACGCAGCUGAUAGAAAUGCUACCAGCAUCUUAAACCAGCUUGGUGCAGACAAUCUGACUAGUUUAAGGAGACCGACUGAAGCUCUGCCCAAAUAGUCUGUGGAUGGAAAAGCACUGCUUGCUAAUGGAGGGGAUGGUGAUGAAGUUCUAGAUCUUGUAAGGAGUUUUGAUGAGGCUAUUAAGAAUGAGGCAAACUGAAUUGAGUCAACUUCUGAAGAAGAAAAAAUAUGAAGUAACUAGGAGCUGCUAUUUUACAUUAUGA
rnacentral:lncRNA from 1 species